rnacentral:rRNA from 1 species
GUGAGUAACACGUGGGUAACCUACCUAUAAGUACUGGGAUAACUUCGGGAAACCGGAGCUAAUACCGGAUAAUAUUUCGAACCGCAUGGUUCGAUAGUGAAAGAUGGUUUUGCUAUCACUUAUAGAUGGACCCGCGCCGUAUUAGCUAGUUGGUAAGGUAACGGCUUACCAAGGCGACGAUACGUAGCCGACCUGAGAGGGUGAUCGGCCACACUGGAACUGAGACACGGUCCAGACUCCUACGGGAGGCAGCAGUAGGGAAUCUUCCGCAAUGGGCGAAAGCCUGACGGAGCAACGCCGCGUGAGUGAUGAAGGUCUUCGGAUCGUAAAACUCUGUUAUUAGGGAAGAACAUACGUGUAAGUAACUAUGCACGUCUUGACGGUACCUAAUCAGAAAGCCACGGCUAACUACGUGCCAGCAGCCGCGGUAAUACGUAGGUGGCAAGCGUUAUCCGGAAUUAUUGGGCGUAAAGCGCGCGUAGGCGGUUUUUUAAGUCUGAUGUGAAAGCCCACGGCUCAACCGUGGGAGGGUCAUUGGAAACUGGAAAACUUGAGUGCAGAAGAGGAAAGUGGAAUUCCAUGUGUAGCGGUGAAAUGCGCAGAGAUAUGGAGGAACACCAGUGGCGAAGGCGACUUUCUGGGUCUGUAACUGACGCUGAUGUGCGAAAGCG